AGAAAAGGUUUGGGAGCAAUGCGCCAAAAAUUCAUAUGUCCCUUCAUUCUUCAACCACCAUUCAGAGGACUAGCGUCCAUGCUGACGAUGGGUUCUGUUCUAUAACAAUCAAAAACCAUGCAGACCAAUGCAUGUUCAUUUUCAUCAUCUGAGUCAGAUGCCACCAGCAGAAGGUUGAUUUUCUUUUUUGGUGGUUCAGGUUCUGUAGUUUCCGCAUCGGAGU